GACGAACGCUGGCGGCGUGCUUAACACAUGCAAGUCGAACGAGGUUCAUGGAGCUUGCUCCAGAAGAUCUAGUGGCGAACGGGUGCGUAACACGUGAGAAACCUGUCCCGGACUUGGGAAUAACAGUCGGAACGACUGCUAAUACCGAAUACCUUCGGAUCGUCGCAUGGCGAACCGAAGAAAGCGUAUGCGGUUCGGGA
rnacentral:rRNA from 1 species